GAUGAAGAACGCAGCAAAAUGCGAUAAGUAAUGUGAAUUGCAGAAUUCAGUGAAUCAUCGAAUCUUUGAACGCACAUUGCGCCCGCUGGUAUUCCGGCGGGCAUGCCUGUUCGAGCGUCAUUUCAACCCUCAAGCCCCCGGGUUUGGUGUUGGGGAUCGGCUCUGCCCUUCUGGGCGGUGCCGCCCCCGAAAUACAUUGGCGGUCUCGCUGCAGCCUCCAUAGCGUAGUAGCUAACACCUCGCAACUGGAACGCGGCGCGGCCAUGCCGUAAAACCCCAACUUCUGAAUGUUGACCUCGGAUCAGGUAGGAAUACCCGCUGAACUUAAGCAUAUCAAUAAGCGGAGGA
rnacentral:misc_RNA from 1 species